rnacentral:tRNA from 1 species
GGCGCUAUAGUGUAGUGGUCAUCACACGGGAUUUUGAAGCCUCUCAACAUUCCCGUGACCCAGGUUCGAACCCUGGUAGUGCCU